GAUGAACGCUGGCGGCGUGCCUAAUACCUGCAAGUCGAGCGAACGGACGAGAAGCUUGCUUCUCUGAUGUUAGCGGCGGACGGGUGAGUAACACGUGGAUAACCUACCUAUAAGACUGGGAUAACUUCGGGAAACCGUAGCUAAUACCGGAUAAUAUUUUGAACCGCAUGGUUCAAAAGUGAAAGACGGUCUUGCUGUCACUUAUAGAUGGAUCCGCGCUGCAUUAGCUAGUUGGUAAGGUAACGGCUUACCAAGGCAACGAUGCAUAGCCGACCUGAGAGGGUGAUCGGCCACACUGGAACUGAGACACGGUCCAGACUCCUACGGGAGGCAGCAGUAGGGAAUCUUCCGCAAUGGGCGAAAGCCUGACGGAGCAACGCCGCGUGAGUGAUGAAGGUCUUCGGAUCGUAAAACUCUGUUAUUAGGGAAGAACAUAUGUGUAAGUAACUGUGCACAUCUUGACGGUACCUAAUCAGAAAGCCACGGCUAACUACGUG
rnacentral:rRNA from 1 species